rnacentral:misc_RNA from 1 species
AGUUCUACUCUAUAUAGAAAAUAUUCUGCAAUAUUGAGAAAAUAUCUCUCUCCAAAUCCACUAAAAUUUUGAGUUGUAAUUUUAAUAGGCCUUUCAUCUGAUCAAUCAUUUCAAGGUAAACAGCUGCAUUAAAAUGAACAAAGUUAGAUAAAUGAUUAGCAAUACAUUAAUGAAUAAAUUACCAGUAACAAAUUGAUGCAUAUAUACAUAUGUAUAGCAAUAUAUAAAUCCCAAACAAUUAAAAUUUUAUAUGCCAGUAAAGUAAUUCUGUAAUAUAUUAGAUGUGUUUGUACCGAAAAACAUCAUCUAGAAAUGUAGCCAUACUACCUAAUCAAAGAUUAAAAUGAACUAAUUAUUUAACAUUUCAUUCUCUCAAGAAUGAUUAGAAAAAUUAAUUCCAAUCAAAGGUCUAGAAUACAGUAAAAGAAAAUGGCCAUGUUUUCAGAGAGGAAAAACAUAAUAUAUAAUAUCAAACCCACAAAUGAUUAUCUGUCUUCAUCAAUGAAUGCUUUUCAUAAUCAACCAAUCACAGGGAUAAAGAAUCAUGUUGACUCGCUGACAAAAGAAGGGAAAAGUGCAAUAAAUAAGAUUGAUAAGAAUAUUGAUAGAAGUGCAGUUCACUCAAGUUGCAGUCCAUAUACUAAUCAAUGAAUGCACAUAAUCAAAACAAAACUAAAAAUAAGCAUCCAAUUCCGGUAGGAGAAGAGAAAAAUAUUCACGAGAAUUGAGUGAGAAUAACAUGCUUAGGAAUUGAUUGGACUUUGUUUGGAAGCAUGCACAGCACAGACAUGUAGUAGGUAUAGAAAGUAAACGAGUAGAUAAAACAGAGAUCAGAAGUAAAAAUACAUAGAUAAAAUGCAAACAAGUGGUUGCACCACUAGGAGUAAAAUUAUUAAUACUGAAAAUAUAAAUAAAAAUAAGCAUCAAACAGAAUAGAUCAUACCUACACUAAGAGUUCCCACCAAAA